UACGAAGGGGGCUAGCGUUGUUCGGAAUACUGGGCGUAAAGCGUAUGCAGGCGGAUCGUUAAGUCGGGGGUGAAAUCCCGAGGCUCAACCUCGGAACUGCCUUCGAUACUGGCGAUCUUGAGUCCGGGAGAGGUGAGUGGAACUCCGAGUGUAGAGGUGAAAUUCGUAGAUAUUCGGGAAGAACACCAGUGGCGAAGGCGGCUCACUGGCCCGGUACUGACGCUGAGACGCGAAAGCGUGGGGAGCGAAC
rnacentral:rRNA from 1 species